rnacentral:rRNA from 1 species
CAUGCAUGUCUAAGUAUAAGCAAUUAUACACGUGAAACUGCGAAUGCGCUCAUUAAAUCAGUUAUCGUUUAUUUGAUAGUACCUUACUACUUGGAUAACCGUGGUAAUUCUAGAGCUAAUACAUGCUUAAAAUCCCGACUGUUUGGAAGGGAUGUAUUUAUUAGAUAAAAAAUCAAUGCCUUCGGGCUCUUUGAUGAUUCAUAAUAACUUUUCGAAUCGCAUGGCCUUGUGCUGGCGAUGGUUCAUUCAAAUUUCUGCCCUAUCAACUUUCGAUGGUAGGAUAGUGGCCUACCAUGGUUUCAACGGGUAACGGGGAAUAAGGGUUCGAUUCCGGAGAGGGAGCCUGAGAAACGGCUACCACAUCCAAGGAAGGCAGCAGGCGCGCAAAUUACCCAAUCCCGACACGGGGAGGUAGUGACAAUAAAUAACGAUACAGGGCCCUUUCGGGUCUUUGUAAUUGGAAUGGAGUACAAUGUAAAUACCUUAACGAGGAACAAUUGGAGGGCAAGUCUGGGUGCCAGCAGCCGCGGUAAUUCCAGCUCCAAAAGCGUAUAUUAAAGUUGUUGCAGUUAAAAAGCUCCGUAGUUGAACCUUGGGCUUGGCUGGCCGGUCCAUCUUUUUUGAUGCGUACUGGACCCAGCCGAGCCUUUCCUUCUGGCUAGCCUUUUUGGCGAACCAGGACUUUUACUUUGAAAAAAUUAGAGUGUUCAAAGCAGGCCUUUGCUCGAAUAUAUUAGCAUGGAAUAAUAGAAUAGGACGUUAUGGUUCUAUUUUGUUGGUUUCUAGGACCAUCGUAAUGAUUAAUAGGGACGGUCGGGGGUAUCAGUAUUCAGUAGUCAGAGGUGAAAUUCUUGGAUUUACUGAAGACUAACUACUGCGAAAGCAUUUACCAAGGACGUUUUCAUUAAUCAAGAACGAAAGUUAGGGGAUCGAAGAUGAUCAGAUACCGUCGUAGUCUUAACCAUAAACUAUGCGCGACUAGGGAUCGGUUGUUGUUCUUUUAUUGACGCAAUCGGCACCUUACGAGAA